rnacentral:misc_RNA from 1 species
UUUCCGUAGGUGAACCUGCGGAAGGAUCAUUACCGAUUGAGGGUCUCUCAGGCCCGACCUCCCACCCUGUGUUUUUGUGACCUUGUUGCUUUGGCGGGUCCCCCUCGAUGAGAGGCCGCCGGAAGCUCACCGCUUUGGGCCCGUGCCCGCCAGUAGCCCCCUUAAAUUCUUAAUAAACCUGUCAUCUGCGUCUAGAUAUAAUAAAAAAAACUUUCAACAACGGAUCUCUUGGUUCUG